UGAGUAAUACCGCAUACGCCCUUCGGGGGAAAGAUUUAUCGGAGAAGGAUCGGCCCGCGUUAGAUUAGAUAGUUGGUGGGGUAAUGGCCUACCAAGUCUACGAUCUAUAGCUGGUUUUAGAGGAUGAUCAGCAACACUGGGACUGAGACACGGCCCAGACUCCUACGGGAGGCAGCAGUGGGGAAUCUUAGACAAUGGGCGCAAGCCUGAUCUAGCCAUGCCGCGUGUGUGAUGAAGGUCUUAGGAUCGUAAAGCACUUUCGCCAGGGAUGAUAAUGACAGUACCUGGUAAAGAAACCCCG
rnacentral:rRNA from 1 species